rnacentral:rRNA from 1 species
AUUGAACGCUGGCGGCAUGCUUUACACCUGCAAGUCGAACGAGUGGCGGACGGGUGAGUAAUAUAUCGGAACGUACCGAGUAAUGGGGGAAAACCAAUCGAAAGAUUGGCUAAUACAGCAUAUUAUUCAAGCGGCGGAUAACUGCUUAGCUAGUUGGUGGGGUAAAGGCCUACCAAGGCGACGAUCAGUAGCGGGUCUGAGAGGACAAUCCGCCACACUGUGAUUGAGACACGGCCCAGACCCCUACGGGAGGCAGCAGUGGGGAUUUUUGGACAAUGGGGGCAACCCUGAUCCAGCCAGGCCGCGUGUAUGAAGAAGGCCGUCGGGUUGUAAAGUACUUUUGUUAGGGAAGCGGUACCAAAGAAUAAGCACCGGCUAACUACGUGCCAGCAGCCGCGGUAAUUC